rnacentral:rRNA from 1 species
GUAAGCUUGCUUCUCGCUGACGAGCGGCGGACGGGUGAGUAAUGUAUGGGGAUCUGCCCGAUAGAGGGGGAUAACUACUGGAAACGGUAGCUAAUACCGCAUAAUCUCUUAGGAGCAAAGCAGGGGAACUUCGGUCCUUGCGCUAUCGGAUGAACCCAUAUGGGAUUAGCUAGUAGGUGAGGUAAUGGCUCACCUAGGCGACGAUCCCUAGCUGGUCUGAGAGGAUGAUCAGCCACACUGGGACUGAGACACGGCCCAGACUCCUACGGGAGGCA